ACAACCUGUAGUCCGCACUAGAGGCAGCUCCAUGAGCUACCUUUAGGAAGGUCUGAGAAUGCCAAGUUUUCUUGGUGCAAAGAAAGAAGUGAGACCAUCUCGUAUGAUUUCACUCUUUCGGCAUCAAGAUCGCUUCAGAAUCUUAGCGAUUCGCUUCGUAAUCCGAAGUGCAAACCAAGAGAAACGAUACGAUGAUGAAAAAAGAUGAUUCGCAAAUUUUCGAAUUCGAAAAACCGCAAAGCAUACGCAAGCGAUAAUCCGUAGUAGGGUUUGAUGUUAUGUUUUACGGACGUCUUCGAAUGCGAAUUCUAAAUCUCUCGGUGAAACGAUUAAGGUUUGUGGCUGGCUUAAGUGUAAAGUUCGAUGUGCGGAGUGAUCGAAUUUCCAUAGAAAUAAGAUCAUAACUCAAUUCAGACUACUCACGGGUUGU
rnacentral:RNase_P_RNA from 1 species